UUAAAUGUGAACAAACUGUAAUUGCUUUUGAAUCGAAAUUAAUAAACUAAAAGUAAUCGAUUAGAAUAAGAAUAGGAUACGCUUUUAGAAAUGUAACUGCAUUAUAUUACUGAGCAUUUGAGAUUUAAAAAAAAAUUGUACUAAUUUAAGAUGCUUCGAAAUUACUUGAAAUUAUUCAGAUAAAUUUCGUAUUGUGCUUCUUUAUACUUGAGUAUGUAAAAAAAAUACCCACUUCAUAACGCUAAAAAAUAUGAAAUGAGUUGAGGCAAAGCCUUUUAUUCUAUCUGAAAUCGAAACAAAAAACGCGCGGAAUAAUAUCUCUGUAAUUCAUAGCCUUUCAAAACAUACGAUUUUCUAAAUAGUCAGUUGCCCGCUCAAAUGUUUUCAAACUAUUGGUAACUUUCUAAAAUUCAUGAAAAUAUGCACAUUUAAUGCGGAAGAAAUAUUCAUAAUCUCUGAAUAUUCCACUCGAGUAGUUUCUAAGCGACGAAAAUGCCAUAAUUAUGUGGAUUCUACAUGGUACAGUCUAAUAUGACAGAGGAAACAAUCAUGGCAGUUGUUCUCUUGUGCCCUCUUCUAUAAAUGAACAGAAUGCAUUAAUGUAAAUUUGGCAAGUGUUCUGAGUCAAAGCAUUGGGAAUAUUAGUGGAAAAGUUUAAAUCAAAGAUCUAUAAUACCAGACAGUUUCUGUUCGGUUACUUGGCGUUUUUCACACAUCAAUGGGAAGUGCAACGUCAUAGAAAUCAUCAACGAAACAAAAUCGCCUGCGGUUGUUGGAUCUGUUGUCUGUAAAGAACACUUUAUGCUGUAUAUUGGAAACAAUGGCCAAUGCCAGUAUGUAUAGCGACUGACUUUCCUCUUGACAAAAAUAUGGAUGGCAGCUGCCUGGAUGGGACACGAAAGUUUUUCUCAGUUUCGUACAGAAGUAAUAUUGGUAUUGAUAGGCUGGAUAACAUGACCUAUAUCCAUGCCAUUUUGCUUCAUAAAGGCACUCCGUUAACUACCAGUAGUGUUGCUUUCUGUUACUUUCACACAGCAGUUCACUGAAGUAUUUCUUUCAGAUGAUGUUGAAGGUGGUGACAAAAUUCAAAGGCAAGUAAGUUCGCUAUUUAUAUUAAAAUAGCAUAGAAUUUGGAAAACCUUUUUUAAUUGGUUCGUAUAGAAAGUCUGCAAAAAAAUCCAAAACAUAAUUAUUUUGAAAUAUUUAUUGAAAUAGAUGCAGUCUUUUCAGCUACUUCUCAUCAUUUGAAUUACUGGAAUUGAAACAGUCGUAUUUGCUCUUGACUACAGGAUUCGAAGUAAUUGAAAGCCUCAGAAUAGUUAACAUGUGACAAACAUCUGCAUGUAAUUGUCACAAGGGAGCUACUGCAUGGCUGAAGAACAGUUUCCGGUAAUCUAUACCAAGACAUGCUGACAUGUUUUAAAUGAAGUGAUCACGGCACAACAGAUAUCUGAUGCUGUUAACAAGUGUAUGUCGGAAUUUGAAUUCCGUGCGAUUGAAUCGUGAAUAGAGAUCCAGCAGGUUUAAUCGACAAUUUGAGCUUGGACUAAUAUUUCAAGCUUUACAAAAUCUUAUCUUUAGAACCGAAAACUUAUUCAGAUUUCUUAUACGUUUCAACGUGUAUUAAAAGCGUUAAGUAGUUUUUGAGCGACGAGUGUCGGAAUUAGACUGACUUCACAUGAAUAUUUUUGCACACAUUUUAACAAAUGAACAGAAAGAACAAAUGUUAAUUUGAAUGAUUUUUUUGUAGUGAUAGUAGCAAGAGCUUUGAUAAUAUCACUUCAAACAAUUUUACUUAUGCCAAGAAGAUACUCUAUUUCUUAGUAUUUACUCAAGUGAGACAAAAUGUCAUCAAUCAAAACCGAGACGAAAUCGCCUGCAAUUGAUACUGGAGCAGCGAACUGUGUAGAGAAUCUGUCGUCUAUUUGAACAAAAUUUUAAUACGGAAUGAACACAUUUUCUGCUCCAGCAACAACUUUUUUCUAUAUGUAGAAGGUACCUGGAUGAUCCGUAGAGAACAUCACCAAUGUGAUAUCGGUCAGACAACUCACGACCAUUAAUGUCGUUUUCCUGGUUUAAGAACAUGCCGUCACCAUCGAUAAUACGCCUUUCAAGAUUCCAAACACUCCUACAAUAGACACCAGUUCUACUUGAUGCGGGGAGGAUAUUUCCUUAAGAUGAGUUCGAAGUACAUGGAAUUCAAGGAGAUGCUUAUUUACUGAAUCAUAACAAUAAAACUAGCACAAGGUGACACCCGAUGUUGACUUGUUUUGACCGAAGUGAUCAUGCCACAACAUACAGUUUCUAUUAAGAAGUUUCAACAUGAAGUUUCUAUUAAGCGUAAAUUCCAAUUCGGAGCCUUUGGAGUUAAUUAUAUUCGGAAAAACAUAUGCAGGUGGUUUGUAAAAUUAUGAGUAUGUAUAUUUACUACCAAAAAUUAUGUCUGUAUAGUGGAAAUGUUCUUACAAAUGUAAUGGCCAUUAUUUGAGCAUAUCAAAACAUCUUUGAAAUGUCACUUAGCACUUUAAGAACAAGAUAGUAAAUGUUUUUAUUUUCGAAAUUUGGUGAAGCUUGAAGUGGACGGAAUAUUUAUCAUCCAAAACAAGCGUUAGGCAUACCAAUCGAUAUUUCAUCUUAAAGUUGUGUAGAAAGUUUCGUAUACCUACUUAAAGCGAUUUCAAAAUAAUGCUCUGCAUUCAUUUCCUUCAGGCGUCAUGCUUGAUUUCUACUUCGUCGAGAAACAAGCAUUUUUAAAACAAUCGAGGUCGAUGAACUUGUUCUGUGUAGAUAAAUUAAAAUUUAAUGGUAUAUCUGAUUUUCCUAGAAAUAAUCUGAAUCCAUUUUCCAACAAGACUGAAUGUUUAAUUCAUUAUUUUUCUUCAAAAUGGGUAAAAUUCGCUUUGAAGUUGCAUUAGUAACCAUAAUCUCUUAUUGGAGCUCAACAAAUUGACAAACAGGACUUUCAUUGUCCCACCAAUAUAGGGAGGAAUUGCAACAACUGCCAUAGAACUGUCAUUUCUUUGAAAUAAGAACUAAAAUCAUUUCAUUUGCAUUGUGCUUUCUUCUAUUGUCAAUCACUUCAACCGUUUCAUGCUAUUAUGAAUUUUUAAGAUUACUUUUCAUCACCGAUUGCUGUAACGAAGUUUGAAAAAUUGAAUUUUAUUGUUAUGAAUGGAUUAACUGUAGUUCACAUCAGCAUAACGGUUUUCUGUAUACUUCUCAAUUUAUCAACAAAUGUUAUAAAAAUUGUAAUCCUUUGUUUUCAUUUUGAACUGA